rnacentral:pre_miRNA from 1 species
UUGGAGGAUUUAAAGACUUCAACUUGCCAACUUAGAGGAUUUUAAGACUUCAACUCGCAUACUUGAAGCAUUUGAAGAGUUCAACU